CAGCCGCCACGGUAAUACGGAGGGUGCAAGCGUUAAUCGGAAUUACUGGGCGUAAAGCGCACGCAGGCGGUUUGUUAAGUCGGAUGUGAAAUCCCCGAGCUUAACUUGGGAACUGCAUUUGAAACUGGCAAGCUAGAGUCUUGUAGAGGGGGGUAGAAUUCCAGGUGUAGCGGUGAAAUGCGUAGAGAUCUGGAGGAAUACCGGUGGCGAAGGCGGCCCCCUGGACAAAGACUGACGCUCAGGUGCGAAGGCGUGGGGAGCAAACAGGAUUAGAGACCCGCGUAGUCCCUGUCUCUUAUAC
rnacentral:rRNA from 1 species